AGAGUUUGAUCCUGGCUCAGAUUGAACGCUGGCGGCAGGCCUAACACAUGCAAGUCGAGCGGUAGCACAGAGAGCUUGCUCUCGGGUGACGAGCGGCGGACGGGUGAGUAAUGUCUGGGAAACUGCCUGAUGGAGGGGGAUAACUACUGGAAACGGUAGCUAAUACCGCAUAACGUCGCAAGACCAAAGUGGGGGACCUUCGGGCCUCAUGCCAUCAGAUGUGCCCAGAUGGGAUUAGCUAGUAGGUGGGGUAAUGGCUCACCUAGGCGACGAUCCCUAGCUGGUCUGGGAGGAUGACCAGCCACACUGGAACUGAGACACGGUCCAGACUCCUACGGGAGGCAGCAGUGGGGAAUAUUGCACAAUGGGCGCAAGCCUGAUGCAGCCAUGCCGCGUGUGUGAAGAAGGCCUUCGGGUUGUAAAGCACUUUCAGCGGGGAGGAAGGCGAUAAGGUUAAUAACCUUGUCGAUUGACGUUACCCGCAGAAGAAGCACCGGCUAACUCCGUGCCAGCAGCCGCGGUAAUACGGAGGGUGCAAGCGUUAAUCGGAAUUACUGGGCGUAAAGCGCACGCAGGCGGUCUGUCAAGUCGGAUGUGAAAUCCCCGGGCUUAACCUGGGAACUGCAUUCGAAACUGGCAGGCUAGAGUCUUGUAGAGGGGGGUAGAAUUCCAGGUGUAGCGGUGAAAUGCGUAGAGAUCUGGAGGAAUACCGGUGGCGAAGGCGGCCCCCUGGACAAAGACUGACGCUCAGGUGCGAAAGCGUGGGGAGCAAACAGGAUUAGAUACCCUGGUAGUCCACGCCGUAAACGAUGUCGAUUUGGAGGUUGUGCCCUUGAGGCGUGGCUUCCGGAGCUAACGCGUUAAAUCGACCGCCUGGGGAGUACGGCCGCAAGGUUAAAACUCAAAUGAAUUGACGGGGGCCCGCACAAGCGGUGGAGCAUGUGGUUUAAUUCGAUGCAACGCGAAGAACCUUACCUGGUCUUGACAUCCACAGAACUUUCCAGAGAUGGAUUGGUGCCUUCGGGAACUGUGAGACAGGUGCUGCAUGGCUGUCGUCAGCUCGUGUUGUGAAAUGUUGGGUUAAGUCCCGCAACGAGCGCAACCCUUAUCCUUUGUUGCCAGCGGUCCGGCCGGGAACUCAAAGGAGACUGCCAGUGAUAAACUGGAGGAAGGUGGGGAUGACGUCAAGUCAUCAUGGCCCUUACGACCAGGGCUACACACGUGCUACAAUGGCAUAUACAAAGAGAAGCGACCUCGCGAGAGCAAGCGGACCUCAUAAAGUAUGUCGUAGUCCGGAUUGGAGUCUGCAACUCGACUCCAUGAAGUCGGAAUCGCUAGUAAUCGUAGAUCAGAAUGCUACGGUGAAUACGUUCCCGGGCCUUGUACACACCGCCCGUCACACCAUGGGAGUGGGUUGCA
rnacentral:rRNA from 1 species